rnacentral:rRNA from 1 species
GAUGAACGCUGGCGGCGUGCUUAACACAUGCAAGUCGAACGAUGAAGCCCAGCUUGCUGGGUGGAUUAGUGGCGAACGGGUGAGUAACACGUGAGUAACCUGCCCUUAACCCUGGGAUAAGCCUGGGAAACUGGGUCUAAUACCGGAUAGGAGCGUCCACCGCAUGGUGGGUGUUGGAAAGAUUUAUCGGUUUUGGAUGGACUCGCGGCCUAUCAGCUUGUUGGUGAGGUAUGGCUCACCAAGGCGACGACGGGUAGCCGGCCUGAGAGGGUGACCGGCCACACUGGGACUGAGACACGGCCCAGACUCCUACGGGAGGCAGCAGUGGGGAAUAUUGCACAAUGGGCGCAAGCCUGAUGCAGCGACGCCGCGUGAGGGAUGACGGCCUUCGGGUUGUAAACCUCUUUCAGUAGGGAAGAAGCGAAAGUGACGGUACCUGCAGAAGAAGCACCGGCUAACUACGUG